rnacentral:lncRNA from 1 species
GUUUUAACCCACCAAGUCUUGGGGUACUUUGUUACUUAGUCAUAGAUAACUAGAAUAGUGUUUGGGGCAAGAGAGGAUAGGAGGGAAGCAAACUAUGAACAGCAAAUAGAGGGAAGGGCCUAGAGAAACCAUUGGCUUGCAUUUGGCGCCAUCUGCAGGAACCAUGAGUAGAAAUCUACCACCCACUGGGACUUUCCAUCAGUGCCAGAGCUGGGAGGUCCUUUGGAGAUCCAACCUCCAAGAAUUCUCCCUGAGCAAUGGGAAAGAGAUAUGGGAUAUGUAGACACCACAGAUUGGUUGCUUUAAUAGCCUAAUUCUUCUCACUUCCACAUUUUAAGAAGGAAAAGUUUAUUUGGGGGCUUUCAAAUGCACGUUCAAUCUCCCUACCGAAAGUGAGCAGCUGUGACAGAAAUGUCAGUUUCUGCAGAGAAAAAGUUUAGCUUUGCCAACUGAUGCAUUCAGAUUAGAUUACCCUGGGAUCCUCUUGAAAAGCAGAUUUUCAUUCUGGAUCUAGGAUGGGUCCUGAGGUUCUGCAUUUCUAAGUUCCAGGUGACACACUGCUAGUCCCACCACACGGUGAGUAGCAAGGGUUUAAAGUGAGACAGUGCUACAUUGUUGUUGAUUUUAAAAAUCAUUUAAAAUAAAUAAGCAGCAAAUCUUUUUCUAACCUUCCCAAGUUUCUGCUGUCAUGUCCUCAUCUUAGUGAGAUUGGAGCAAUCUCAUUCCUGCCCAAACCAGAAUAUUUUGGGGGCAGCUGGUUCUGCCUCCUGGAAAAGAGUAUGGCUUCCUUUUUGUCUUAUUGUAAAGGCUGCCGUCUGCACCAGUGUCUAUGCUUUGACUUCUUGCUGCCCUUGAAGGAGACUCUCGCACCUCUGCAGCAAGCUCUGUCUCAACAUUUGGAUAGGCAUAAAUUUGAAUUUCAUUUCUCAGUCUCUGCUACCUGAUGAGAAAAGUUUUAUCCAAUGCAAGUAAGUGGUCCAUUUUCCCUACCAUACCCCAUUCACCCAGGAAUCUCAAUGGCUCUGUUUAUUCCCUCAUUUGAUGCCAAAACCAUUAAAAUGAAAUUUACCCCUAAACAAACAAACAAAAAUGCACAUACAACUUCUUCCAACAACCAGGGGAAAAGGGUGUUUCCCAUCCCUUGGCCCCAUGGCUUGUUUUAGUCAAUUACAUGUCAGCGAUUGCAGUCAAGACCAGAACAUAGCUAAG